UACAGAGGUCUCAAGCGUUGUUCGGAUUCACUGGGUUUAAAGGGUGCGUAGGCGGACAGGUAAGUCAGUGGUGAAAUCUCUGGGCUUAACUCAGAAACUGCCGUUGAUACUAUUUGUCUUGAAUAUUCUGGAGGUAAGCGGAAUAUGUCAUGUAGCGGUGAAAUGCUUAGAUAUGACAUAGAACACCGAUAGCGAAGGCAGCUUACUACAGAAUGAUUGACGCUGAGGCACGAAAGCGUGGGGAGCAAACAGG
rnacentral:rRNA from 1 species